UACGUAGGGGGCUAGCGUUGUCCGGAAUCAUUGGGCGUAAAGCGCGCGUAGGCUGCCAGAUAAGUCCGGUGUGAAAGUCAAAGGCUCAACCUUUGAAUGCCGCUGGAAACUGUCUGGCUUGAGUCCGGAAGGGGCGAGUGGAAUUCCUGGUGUAGCGGUGAAAUGCGCAGAUAUCAGGAGGAACACCGGUGGCGAAGGCGGGUCUCUGGGCCGAUACUGACGCUGAGGAGCGAAAGCGUGGGGAGCGAACAGG
rnacentral:rRNA from 1 species